UUGAGAGUUCCAUGCUUCCUUGCAUUCAAUAGUAACUAUUUAAUCAUAUGGAAUGUAAAGAAGUAUGGAGCGAUAAA
rfam:Drosophila busckii chromosome 2L sequence.